rnacentral:lncRNA from 1 species
UUAACUUGAAGGAUUAAGUAGAAAAUAAUAACUGUAAAAUGGAUAAUAUUUCUUUUUCAUAUGAUAAGAUAUCGGGAGACGAUAAGAGUUUAAGUUUGUUACAAGAAUCUAAUCUCAUUAAUGAAGGAAAGUGGAUAUGUGCAGAAUCAUACGAGGAAAUACUCGCUUUAAUUCAAAACUAUGAAACAGAAACUGUGUCAAAGUUUUCAUGCUAUUCUGCUGACAAAAACUUUGGUAAUAUAGAAGCUUCUGUCAAACACCAUAAAAAAGAUGGGAGGACGACUCUGUACCUUUUAACGGUGUUCCAUUCGUGAUUGUAGGAAGUAAAGUCUUUGACUGUAUGCAUGGAAGAGAUAGAAAAGUAUCUUUUAAAGAAGAAUAUAAAAUGCGUUGCAAUGAUAGAAAGGUAUCUGAUCACAGUUACUUUAAAAGCUAUGAAAUGAUCCAGGACACAAAGAAAUUUAAUUGUAGUUCACAAAUAAAGAUCAAAGAAGUUUU